AAGAGCCUCCUUGAGAAGUUUCUGUGCUUCUUCUCUUCUCCUAGACAAGUGAAGGAAGCAUCAUUCAGAAUUUAAACAAUAAAAUAUAUCACAUAAGUUAGUGUUUGAAUAUCGUUCAUCCUGCCUACAAACACAACACAAAUACUUUACACAGCCUUCUGAAAGUACAAGUUGUUUUAAAGACUUAAUUUUGUUUAGAAAAUUUUAAUUUAAUUUUAAAUACUUAAAAUAAAAGAUUUAGCUUAAAACUGAGUAGUUUUAAUUUAAAAAAAAAUGUAGUUUUGAUGAUGUCAGAACCAAAAAACCAUAAACAAGAGCUGGAAUUGAGAACCAAAAUACCAAGAACCGAAGAACUAAAUAUUUCUAUUCUGGUUCAAGUUCCGGGGAGGAAGGAAAAAAAAAAAGGAGAGAGAGAG
rnacentral:misc_RNA from 1 species